AGAUAACUAUUUGAUUAACAUGUUAACUAGUAUAGUAUUACUAUAAAUUUAUAUAUAUCGUAUUAAACCAUUUACUAUAUCAUACAAAUUAAUAUGAAAUAAUCAAACUAAAAUUAUAAUAACAUGUUAUAUUGAAUAUAACGUGUUAACAUAUUAAAUAUCUGAAUAAUAUUUAUAUAAAUAUGGUAAGAUAGUUGAUAUAUAGAGAAAUUAUAACAAUAGUUGAUACAUAAUAUAUUUGGUAAAUUAAACAAAGUAACAAUGACCGUUAUCUUUCUUUGUAACACCUCGGUUUCAGGAAUAUGGUGGUCCAUGCGAAGAGAUUUAAAAAGAAUAAAUUUACCCACCUAUGUCAGCAAACUGCAAAUAUCUUUUCCGUCAAACGUCCUGAAAGAACUCCAGGAUUAAGCGUGCUUAAGCCGGAGCAAUUUCAGGAUGGGUGAUUGUUGGACAGAGGUGGGCCCACAUGUCCAAGAGUGAACAUGGGUGCUCAUUGGUAGGGGCGGUCCGGUCGUUACAAAUUGUAUCAGAGCUGAACCCAUGCAAGUAUAGAGAUAAGAGGACUCACACCAUCGGGGGUGACAAUUUUGGUGUGAAACGAGGACAUUGCGAUUUGUUAGUGGGGAUGAAUGAUAACACUUCGGUUUUAGAAAUAUGGUAAUACAUAAGUUUAACAGAAUUGAUUUGGUCACCUCUAUCACUAAAAUGCACUUAUGUUUUGUAUGGUGUUACAAUAUUAUGUAUAUAAAGUGGAACAAGAAUCGGUAAAGAAAACAGAAAGGGUAAGACAACUUCUUGAGGAGUGAGAGACAACUUUUGAGCAUUGACUUCAAUUGAUAAUUAUAAGUUAUAGCCAUCAAAACGGGGUGUGAUUUGUGUGAUUGCGAAUGGCUAAUGAUUUGG
rnacentral:sRNA from 1 species